rnacentral:rRNA from 1 species
GACGAACGCUGGCGGCGUGCUUAACACAUGCAAGUCGAACGGAAAGGCCCUGCUUUUGUGGGGUGCUCGAGUGGCGAACGGGUGAGUAACACGUGAGUAACCUGCCCUUGACUUUGGGAUAACUUCAGGAAACUGGGGCUAAUACCGGAUAGGAGCUCCUGCUGCAUGGUGGGGGUUGGAAAGUUUCGGCGGUUGGGGAUGGACUCGCGGCCUAUCAGCUUGUUGGUGGGGUAGUGGCUUACCAAGGCUUUGACGGGUAGCCGGCCUGAGAGGGUGACCGGCCACAUUGGGACUGAGAUACGGCCCAGACUCCUACGGGAGGCAGCAGUGGGGAAUAUUGCACAAUGGGCGGAAGCCUGAUGCAGCAACGCCGCGUGCGGGACGACGGCCUUCGGGUUGUAAACCGCUUUCGCCUGUGACGAAGCGUGAGUGACGGUAAUGGGUAAAGAAGCACCGGCUAACUACGUG